AACGAACGCUGGCGGCAUGCCUAACACAUGCAAGUCGAACGAGACCUUCGGGUCUAGUGGCGCACGGGUGCGUAACGCGUGGGAACCUGCCCUUAGGUUCGGAAUAACUCCCCGAAAGGGGUGCUAAUACCGGAUAAUGUCUUCGGACCAAAGAUUUAUCGCCUUUGGAUGGGCCCGCGUUGGAUUAGCUAGUUGGUAGGGUAAAAGCCUACCAAGGCGACGAUCCAUAGCUGGUCUGAGAGGAUGAUCAGCCACACUGGGACUGAGACACGGCCCAGACUCCUACGGGAGGCAGCAGUGGGGAAUAUUGGACAAUGGGCGAAAGCCUGAUCCAGCAAUGCCGCGUGAGUGAUGAAGGCCUUAGGGUUGUAAAGCUCUUUACCCGGGAUGAUAAUGACAGUACCGGGAGAAUAAGCGCCGGCUAACUCCGUG
rnacentral:rRNA from 1 species